AAUCACUUGGAAGUUACUCAAAACGUGCGUGGGACUAACUUUGUCAGUUUGUUCAGAAAUUUACAGAUUCUUGUAGCCGCAUUUUCCUUGAACAAACCCUCAUAACCAAUACUAUAAUACUAACAAGCAAGACUUUCCACAAUAUAUAGGAAAGAGAAAUAGCAGAAGAAGCAAGUACAUUGAACAACCUUCAUCAUUUUCUUCUCACAAUCACAAUGUUCUCAUUGAAUGGUACCACUUUUACGGACAAUUCGUUGUGUGGGAUUUCAAGAUGUUUGACGACUCAGUCAAGGAAAAGGGUGUCAGUUCCUAUGGUGGUGGUGAGCUCAAAUGGAAGAGCUGCAGAUGGGAAUGUAAGUGUUUUAAUGGAGAAUACUUUGAAGGAAAGUGUUGCAGUAAUAGAGAAAGAUGAUUUUAAAUCGACGGUCAGUGGUGGAGUUGGGGAUGUGUACGGCGAGGAUACUGCCUCUGAAGAUCAAACCAUCACCCCUUGGACCUUCUCUGUUGCUAGCGGAUACUCAUUGUUGCGUGAUCCACACUACAACAAAGGGCUAGCUUUCAGUGAGAAAGAGAGGGAUUCCCACUAUUUGAGUGGUCUUCUUCCUCCUGUGGUUGUUGAUCAGGAGCUUCAGGUUAAGAAAGUGAUGAACGUUCUGCGUCAGUAUGAUGUACCGCUGCAAAGGUACAUGGCCAUGAUGGAUCUUCAGGAGAGAAAUGAGAGACUAUUCUACAAGCUUCUUAUGGAAAACGUAGAAGAGCUGCUCCCGAUAGUUUAUACUCCAACAGUAGGCGAAGCAUGCCAGAAGUAUGGUAGCAUCUUCAAACGUCCUCAAGGUCUUUUUAUCAGCUUGAAAGAAAAAGGCAAAAUUCUUGAGGUAUUAAAGAAUUGGCCUGAGAAGAAAAUUCAAGUUAUUGUUGUAACUGAUGGAGAACGAAUAUUGGGCCUUGGGGACCUAGGUUGCCAGGGAAUGGGGAUACCAGUAGGGAAACUCUCUUUAUACACAGCUCUUGGAGGCAUUCGUCCGUCAGCUUGUUUGCCAGUAACCAUUGAUGUGGGUACAAAUAAUGAGAAAUUGUUAGAAGAUGAAUUUUACAUUGGGCUCAGACAAAGAAGAGCUAGAGGACAGGAAUAUGCUGAACUCUUGGAUGAAUUUAUGUCUUCUGUCAAGCAGACUUAUGGGGAGAAAGUGCUCAUUCAGUUUGAAGACUUUGCAAAUCAUAAUGCAUUUGACCUUCUUGAAAAGUAUGGAACUAGCCACCUCGUUUUCAACGACGACAUUCAGGGGACUGCAUCUGUGGUCCUUGCAGGGCUCAUGGCAGCACUAAACUUAGUGGGAGGAAACUUGGCACAACAUACAUUUUUAUUCCUGGGAGCUGGGGAGGCUGGUACUGGGAUAGCAGAACUCAUAGCUCUUGAGAUGUCAAAGCAGACUGGAGCCCCUCUAGAAGAGACACGCAAGAAAAUUUGGAUGGUGGAUUCUAAGGGGUUGAUUGUUAGGUCUCGUAUGGAGUCACUUCAGCAUUUUAAGAUGCCCUGGGCUCAUGACCACGAGCCAGUAAAAGAACUUGUGAAUGCUGUGAAGUUAAUUAAGCCAACCAUCUUGAUUGGGUCUUCUGGCACUGGGAAGACGUUUACUAAAGAAGUGGUACGAACUAUAGCAACCUUCAAUAAGUUUGUAAUGCAGAAACCGGUUAUUUUUGCUCUCUCCAACCCAACAUCACAGUCUGAAUGUACUGCUGAAGAGGCUUAUACAUGGAGUGACGGACGGGCCAUUUUUGCUAGCGGGAGUCCAUUUGCUCCAGUUGAGUACGAGGGUAAAGUGUUCAUGUCUGGUCAGGCAAAUAAUGCAUACAUCUUCCCAGGGUUGGGUCUGGGUCUGAUAAUAUCUGGUGCGAUUCGCGUUCAUGAUGACAUGCUCCUGGCUGCCUGUAAGUUAUGCAAAAUCGGAAGCUUUAGCAGCAGAAGUUAGCAAAGAGAAUUUUGAGAAGGGAUUAAUAUACCCACCAUUUGCCAACAUAAGGAAGAUUUCAGCUCACAUUGCUGCUAAAGUAGCAGCCAAAGCAUAUGAACUAGGUUUGGCGACUCGUCUACCGCAACCAGAGAACCUAGUGUCAUAUGCUGAGAGUUGCAUGUACAGUCCAAGUUACCGUAGCUAUCGCUAGUCCUCCCUCAUUCUCAUUGUUGCUUUGAAGAGUAGUUAGUCAUUGACAUCUCUUUCUCUUCCUACCCUUUUACUCUUUUGAAUUUCUCAGUUCAAUUUUCUAUGUUAGGGAGCAGGAGUUUUUAUUUAGUAAUAUGUCACUGUAAAUAAAUAUUCGGGGCUCAUCAUAUAUAUAAUUCAAAAGUCAUCUAUCCUUAAAUUUCAGUUGUUGGAAUGAAACAGUGGAGUUGGAUGUCUCAAUAUAUUUUAGCCAUCCAAGUUCCUGCUACACCAUUUGAAAAAGACUAGCUAAGGAGGGCUAGCUAAGGAGGGCCCGAAGAAGACUGUUAACAGCCUUUUUGAAGAAUGGAUGGUUCCACCGGUGUUUAUUCAAAAGCAGAUUGAAAUAGACAAGGCAGGAACUUCGUUUGUGAGGCAACGUUUACCAUUAGUUUCAGCAUUUUGUACUAAUAGUAGUAGGCCAAAACAUUCUCAAAUAGCUUUUCAGAUGUAUGAUGUAUAAUAUUAAUGAAUAAGGCCCGUUUGGCCAUGAAAAUAAUACUUUUUUGGAGUUGGAGUUGGA